rnacentral:hammerhead_ribozyme from 1 species
AUCCAGGUGACGAGUCCCAAAUAGGACGAAAUGCGCAUCCUAGCUGGAU